rnacentral:rRNA from 1 species
AGUGAACGCUGGCGGUAGGCCUAACACAUGCAAGUCGAACGGCAGCACAGUAAGAGCUUGCUCUUACGGGUGGCGAGUGGCGGACGGGUGAGGAAUACAUCGGAAUCUACUUUUUCGUGGGGGAUAACGUAGGGAAACCUACGCUAAUACCGCAUACGACCUACGGGUGAAAGCAGGGGAUCUUCGGACCUUGCGCGAUUGAAUGAGCCGAUGUCGGAUUAGCUAGUUGGCGGGGUAAAGGCCCACCAAGGCGACGAUCCGUAGCUGGUCUGAGAGGAUGAUCAGCCACACUGGAACUGAGACACGGUCCAGACUCCUACGGGAGGAAGCAGUGGGGAAUAUUGGACAAUGGGCGCAAGCCUGAUCCAGCCAUACCGCGUGGGUGAAGAAGGCCUUCGGGUUGUAAAGCCCUUUUGUUGGGAAAGAAAAGCAGCAGGUUAAUACCCCGCUGUUCUGACGGUACCCAAAGAAUAAGCACCGGCUAACUUCGUG